GUGACUGAUGCCUAAUGGAUAAGGCAUCGGUCCCCUAAACCGGGGAUUGUGGGUUCGCGUCCCACCAGGGGUA
rnacentral:tRNA from 1 species